GAUGAAGAACGUAGCGAAAUGCGAUAAGUAAUGUGAAUUGCAGAAUUCAGUGAAUCAUCGAAUCUUUGAACGCACAUUGGGCCCCCUGGUAUUCCGGGGGGCAUGCCUGUUCGAGCGUCAUUACAACCCUCAAGCUCUGCUUGGUGUUGGGCCCCGCCGCCCCGGCGGGCCCUAAAAUCAGUGGCGGUGCCGUCCGGCUCCGAGCGUAGUAAUUCUUCUCGCUCUGGAGGUCCGGGUGUGUGCUCGCCAGCAACCCCCAAUUUUUUUCAGGUUGACCUCGGAUCAGGUAGGGAUACCCGCUGAACUUAAGCAUAUCAAUAAGCGGAGGA
rnacentral:misc_RNA from 1 species